rnacentral:misc_RNA from 1 species
GUCUCCUUUUCUUUUUUGUAGUCUCAUACUUCUGGUAGUAACAUAAUUGAAAAUUGAAUCAACCAGAAGGAUGAAGCAAACAAAUCUUGAAGCAGAAAAUAGCAGCACAAAAACAAAACCAUCGAUUCCCCCACCUCCGCCACUGCCACUUCCAAGAUUCUGGGUUCGAAAAACUGCUACUGUAAGUGUGACUAAACAAGAGAUUGCUAAGUUUUGGAGGCAGAAGCACCUUGAGGAAGAGGAUCACCUCCUUGCUGCUAUCAAGGCAGCAGCACGUGUCAGAGCUCGCAAUCUCACGGAAGAGGACUACAAGCAAUUUGAAGAGUCCUUGAAGGAUGAAAAUGGCACCAAGGAUGCUAAGGAGGGUAACACUAAUGGCAUCCUCAUAACUACGAAAGAUGAAAACAAGAAGGAAGUGCGUGUUGGUAUAAAGGAUUGGUGGACCAAGAGCAAGUAUGCAUACUUGAACCAACCAGCCCUUGAGUCAAUGGAUCCGGCAAAAAGAAGAAGUUCCAACUAUGUUCCAAAUUGUUUCUCAUUUAAGCCAACUCCUCUCUAUCCGACCUCUCUUGGGGUCUUUUAGCCUCAUUUCAGUUGCUUCUAUACAUUAUGCUAUGAAGUUAAUGGGUU